AACAUAGGAACUGCUUAGUAUGUAAAAAUAACUAGGUGCCAAUUAUGUUUUAUGCUUUAUCUUUAAAAUUUAUUUACAUAUGAGACACAUGCCUGUGUGCAUAUCUAUGUUUAAAAGUUUUCAUUCGUAGUCCUAUGUGUUGAAAUAUUUUCCAAUGGCUGGUUAAUGUUCUCUUCUAGUCUUUAGAGAUCUGAUAAAGUUAAGGCUGCUAGGUCUGUUACAAUAUUUUUUAAUUUAAAAUGCCAAAAAAUUGUUCUUAGUUAUUUUUAG